GCACUGUCGACGAGUCCCACAAUAGGACGAAACGGCCGUCCAGUGC
rnacentral:hammerhead_ribozyme from 1 species